CUAUCGACAAAGUGUUCAUCGAUGGAUGAAUUUUUUGAAAGGGGGGUGAAAAUUUUGCUCGAAUCACCCCAAAAUGAGAGUGUGUGCGUGGCUCGAUGUAUCGCGAUAGAGUUCGGCGUGUGUCGAAUGAAUGUUCAAAAAGGUCGUAGUAGGCUAAAAUCUGUUUGCCUGUUUUCGCUCGGUCAUUGUCUAGUUUCAUGCGGGAAUAGUUCGUAAAUUGUGGAUUGCGCCAGUUCGUGGACUGUUUAUUCGAUUGUGGAAUAGUGUUUGCCAAGUUGUUCCAGUUCUAGUUCUAAAAGGAUAUUCCUGUGCCGGCACUGGUAAUUUGUACUGCCAGCGUGAUAACCUGCUGGCGCAGCUUUCGGCUGAAUACAACGAUGCAGAGGCAGGACAAACUGUUUCAAGACUUUUGGAAAACAACGCGUGGGGACAUAUGGCCACAGUUAACGGUCCUCAUAUCUAGAGGUUUUUGUGUACACAAAUUCAGGAAGCAGGAAGGAGCUCGAAGCUAGAUUCAAGUGCCGUAGUGUGAAAUACUUCGUCAACAGAGAAAAACGCGUGUUUUCUAACAACUGCGCCUACGCGUCCCUUUGGCCUACUGCUUCAAAGGUAGGCUACCGUGUGCCAGUGCCAGUGGCGUCUAACGCAAUCGGUUGAACGUGGAACUUCUUCUUCUUAUUUCAGUUGACAUUCAUACUUCUUGGUGGUUGCUCUCGGACAGAGCGUACGAAUCGCUAGAAGCAUCUUUUCCGCGUCAUUUGAAAGGGACAAUUUAUUGGACAUGGUCGUGAUUAUCCAGUUCUAUGAUGCACCUGCCAAUGGAAGUGAAAGACAAGCCAACCUUAGUAUUGGUUGUUUUUGCUGCUGAUCGGUUCUAAAUCGGUUUGUAUCGCAGCUAACGAUUCUCGAAGAAGUGUCAGUGUCCUAAUCUUCCUUAUUUUCAUUGCUCAACAAACAUAGGCGCUGGAUUGGAUUUUUCUUCGCUCUGCUCACAGUGCGUGACCUUGGUUUGUUGUGGCAAUCUACCAGUCAAUUAACAGUCCUUUCAGGUAAGUAUUGUCCAUUCUUAUGGACGAUUGUUGUAUUGUUUUACGUAUGUAUAUCUAAUGAAACAUACUUUUUCAGGCAAAAGACGUUCGGUCCUCCGUACACAUCUGAUUUCCGUAAGAAUUACGCCUCAAAUUCGAAGGAGACAAUGUUCUAUCUGCACCUAGCACCUCUACAAACCGUGACCGAUAAAGCUAGCCUUUGAUCCUCCGUCUAGGAUAAUAUACUGCGCCAAAGUUGAAGGUCGGUCGAAUCAUAAACUAACUAAGGAAUCGCCACUCGUUACGAGGUUAUUAUUGGUUGGAACCUUGUUUUUCGCCGUUUGUUAUACAUUCCAUUUACAGAUACAAAAUGGAGUAAAAGAUGCAAAAAAUCGCGUGUUAAUGCGGUCAAAAUUCAAUCGAGAUCGCACACGAUACCAAACUCAAAGACACGAUGUUAGUUUGUUUCGAAACACGCUGAAAAUUCCAUUGAAAAUUUUCGCCAGGACCUAUUUGAUUGAUACAGGAUAUGAAUCUCUUCGAAGCUUGAUCUUAGAAGGGGGAAAAUGUCCACGAUUAUGUAUUGUUUACGCUGCACCGAUCGAAAAUGGCCGCGUGAUCAUGAAAAACGGUAACAAAUCGUGGGCGGAAUCAUGUGGACCAGAAUACGUGCGUUGAAAAUUGUACGCUGUCUGGAUGGAUGCUGGAUUUUUUCUGGGGUAUGGUCUAAAACUAUGUAGAUAAUAAGAAUAGAAAAAAAGGUAUGAAGCGUAAGAUAUUGAUAUCAUUAUGGUUCUAAAACAGUACAUGUUAAUUGUUAUCUUUUUACGCUUGCCAUAAAACCAGUAAAAAUAAAAAAAUAAUAUUAUAUUUGUUAAAAACAAAAAAUGUUUUCAUUGCACCGUUGAAAAUCAACGGUGCGGAAAGAACGAUUGAAAAUGAAUAUUACAGCGUUAAAAUGAACCUUACGAAAAC